AAUGAUAAAUGGGCCCAGGGCAAGGCAAUGGUUGGACAGUCAGGAAAAUCAACACAAUGUACUACUUUGUGAAGAAGAAAGAGGAGGAGAAGGAGGAGGAGGAGGAGGAGGAGGAGGAGAAGGAGGAGGAGGAGGAUGAGGAGGAAGAGCGGGAUGGGGGUGCUGAAGAAAGUGCUAGUUCUCGCUUGUCUCUGCCAUGGCUCUGGCAAUAUCUUAAUUAAGUGUAGACUCAAGAUGAAAUAUGUGACCAGGAAAACUUCCCUCUUCCCCUCCGUGCACUUCAAGAACAUCUCUGAUGUGCCAAGCAGGGGUCCAGUCUUGUGACAAUGUAUGGGGCUGAAACACUUGAGAUGGCCAAAGAUGAUGGCUUUCCUUCUCUUGUUUUACACACACCUGACAAGAUAAGUCAAGACUCUUGGGAUUUGACCAUGACCUAAAGAUUUUGUAGGAUUUAUCACUAAAGUUUCGAAGGUCUUCAGAUCUGACCUUCCCUUGAUGUGGAGCCAACUCUAGGUUCCCAUCAUCCCGGGAACCCAAAGGCACAGUGCAUGCCGCCAACAGUGGAGCUCCUGCUAAAGAAUCCGCCAACGAUGAUGAUUGGGAGAACCCGUGACUCUCCUUGUGGGAAUCCCUCAACUUUCUUCAACAUGACUGGUCACAUUCAAAGAGAAGACAACAGGGUUUACUGGCGAAGUCACUAUAGAGAUAUUGUGCUUGAAAAUCUCUUCUAUUGAAGGACCAUUGUGAGGAAGGAGCCAAGGGCCAUCUUUGUGGUUGCUAGGUUACUUCAAAGAUGAGUUUUGACUCUUCCUACCUAUAGUCAGUCAAUCAAGCAAAACAUGCUAAGGCUGCAGAAAUGGCUCCUCAGGUAAGAACAUUGCCUUCUCUUCUAGUGGACCAAGGUUGGAUUCCCAGCCCUCAUAUAGGAGUUCACAACCAUUUGUAAUUCCAGUUCCAAGGAAUCAGAUGCCCUCUUCUGGCCAUGUGUGGGUACUACACACACAUGGCGCACAGGCAUAUGUGCAGGCAAACACUCAUACACAUAAAAUAAAAUCUUAAAAAUAUCAAACACAACUCCAACUCCAUCUAUUUUCAUUUAUAUGUAGUAUUUGUAACUAUUCCAAAGCAGAAGACGUAUUUGCAGAGGGAGAUUUAGCAACACUCAUAAUUUUAUCUCUGAGCUUUUGGGCUGCAGCUGCAGGAUGUUGGCUUUCACACA